rnacentral:tRNA from 1 species
UCCGGGGUAGUUGCUGCUGGUAGUGACGCCUGGCGCUGAACCAGGAGGCCGUUGGUUCGAUUCCAACUCCCGGAG